rnacentral:rRNA from 1 species
GAGGAAAGAGGGAGGCGUGCCUAAUACAUGCAAGUCGAGCGAACAGACGAGGAGCUUGCUCCUUUGACGUUAGCGGCGGACGGGUGAGUAACACGUGGGUAACCUACCUAUAAGACUGGGAUAACUUCGGGAAACCGGAGCUAAUACCGGAUAAUAUUUCGAACCGCAUGGUUCGAUAGUGAAAGAUGGCUCUGCUAUCACUUAUAGAUGGACCUGCGCCGUAUUAGCUAGUUGGUAAGGUAACGGCUUACCAAGGCAACGAUACGUAGCCGACCUGAGAGGGUGAUCGGCCACACUGGAACUGAGACACGGUCCAGACUCCUACGGGAGGCAGCAGUAGGGAAUCUUCAGAAAUGGGAGAAAGACUGACGGAGCAAAGCCGCGUGAGUGAUGAAGGUCUUCGGAUCGUAAAACUCUGUUAUUAGGGAAGAACAAACGUGUAAGUAACUGUGCACGUCUUGAAGGUACCUAAUCAGAAAGCCACGGCUAACUAAGUG